UACGAAGGGGGCUAGCGUUGCUCGGAAUCACUGGGCGUAAAGCGCACGUAGGCGGCUUUUUAAGUCAUAGGUGAAAUCCUGGAGCUCAACUCCAGAACUGCCUUUGAUACUGGAGAGCUUGAGUCCGGGAGAGGUGAGUGGAACUGCGAGUGUAGAGGUGAAAUUCGUAGAUAUUCGCAAGAACACCAGUGGCGAAGGCGGCUCACUGGCCCGGUACUGACGCUGAGGUGCGAAAGCGUGGGGAGCGAACAGG
rnacentral:rRNA from 1 species